UACAGAGGGGGCAAGCGUUGUUCGGAAUUACUGGGCGUAAAGGGCGCGUAGGCGGCCUUCUAAGUCGAACGUGAAAUCCCCGGGCUCAACCCGGGAACUGCGUCCGAUACUGGAAGGCUAGAAUCCGGGAGAGGGAUGCGGAAUUCCAGGUGUAGCGGUGAAAUGCGUAGAUAUCUGGAGGAACACCGGUGGCGAAGGCGGCGUUCUGGACUGCAACUGACACUGAGGAACGAAAGCCAGGGGAGCAAACGGG
rnacentral:rRNA from 1 species